rnacentral:rRNA from 1 species
AUUGGUCAAUGGGGGAAACCCUGAACCAGCAACGCCGCGUGAGGGAAGACGGUUUUCGGAUUGUAAACUCCUGUUCUUAGUGAAGAAGAAUGACGGUAGCUAAGGAGCAAGCCACGGCUAACUACGUGCCAGCAGCCGCGGUAAUACGUAGGUGGCGAGCGUUGUCCGGAAUUAUUGGGCGUAAAGGGAGCGCAGGCGGAAGGACAAGCCAGAUUUGAAAGUUCGGGGCUCAGCCCCGUGACGGAUCUGGAACUGUUCUCCUUGAGAGCGGGAGAAGGAAGCGGAAUUCCUGGUGUAGCGGUGAAAUGCGUAGAUAUCAGGAAGAACACCAGUGGCGAAAGCGGCUUUCCGGACCGAAUCUGACGCUGAGGCUCGAAAGCCAGGGGAGCGAA